rnacentral:rRNA from 1 species
UACGUAGGGUGCAAGCGUUAUCCGGAAUGAUUGGGCGUAAAGCGUCCGCAGGUGGCAAUGUAAGUCUGCUGUCAAAGCGUCUGGCUUAACCUUAUCAAGGCAGUGGAAACUACACAGCUAGAGUACGGUCGGGGUAGAAGGAAUUCCUGGUGUAGCGGUGAAAUGCGUAGAGAUCAGGAAGAACACCGGUGGCGAAAGCGUUCUGCUAGACCUGUACUGACACUGAGGGACGAAAGCUAGGGGAGCGAAUGGG